rnacentral:rRNA from 1 species
GUAAUCGUGGAUCAGAAUGCCACGGUGAAUACGUUCCCGGGCCUUGUACACACCGCCCGUCACACCAUGGGAGUGGGCUGCAAAAGAAGUAGGUAGUUUAACCUUCGGGGGGACGCUUACCACUUUGUGGUUCAUGACUGGGGUGAAGUCGUAACAAGGUAGCGCUAGGGGAACCUGGCGCUGGAUCACCUCCUUA